rnacentral:rRNA from 1 species
UACGUAGGGUGCAAGCGUUAAUCGGAAUUACUGGGCGUAAAGCGUGCGCAGGCGGUUUUGUAAGUCUGACGUGAAAUCCCCGGGCUCAACCUGGGAAUUGCGUUGGAGACUGCAAGGCUAGAAUCUGGCAGAGGGGGGUAGAAUUCCACGUGUAGCAGUGAAAUGCGUAGAGAUGUGGAGGAACACCGAUGGCGAAGGCAGCCUCCUGGGCCAGCACGUGACG